rnacentral:pre_miRNA from 10 species
GCUUGGGAAACAUACUUCUUUAUAUGCCCAUAUGGACCUAAGCUAUGGAAUGUAAAGAAGUAUGUAUUUCAGGC